UACGUGCGGGGCGACCGUUGUUCGGUGUCACUGGGCUUAAAGGGUGCGUAGGUGGUUACGUAAGUAACGUGUGAAAUCCCUCGGCUUACCCGGGGAAUUGCGCGUUAUACUGCGUGACUUGAGGAUUUCAGGGGAAUGGGGAACUCCAGGUGUAGCGGUGAAAUGCGCAGAUAUCUGGGGGAAGGUCGGCGGCGAAGGCGCCAUUCUGGGAAAUUCCUGACACUGAGGCACGAAAGCGUGGGGAGCAAACAGG
rnacentral:rRNA from 1 species